AUUUAUAUAGUUUAAAAAAAACAUUAUAUUUUCAUUAUAAAAUUAAGUUAUAUUUAUAAAUA
rnacentral:tRNA from 1 species